rnacentral:rRNA from 1 species
UAGAUUGAGAACAACGUUACAAACCUUAUCGAUAAACAAUUGGAGGGCAAGUCUGGUGCCAGCAGCCGCGGUAAUUCCAGCUCCAAUAGCGUAUAUUAACGUUGUUGCAGUUAAAAAGCUCGUAGUUGAAAUGAAGGGUAGUUGUGUAAUGAAUACAUUCGUGUAUUUUGUUAUUCUACUACCCUCCUUCUAAAUUCGAUAUAUGAGUAUUAAUUUACUUGUAUAUGGUUUUAGACGUUUACUGUGAGAAAAUUAGAGUGUUCAAAGCAGGCAUUUGCUUGAAUAUAUUAGCAUGGAAUAAUCAUGUAUGAUUUUCAUGAUGUAUUUGAUUGGUUUGGUUCAUGAGAAUAAGAUUAAAAGGGACAGUUGGGGGUAUUCAUAUUCAAUAGUCAGAGGUGAAAUUCUCGGAUUUAUGGAAGAUGAACAAGUGCGAAAGCAUUUACCAAGGAUGUUUUCAUUAAUCAAGAACGAAAGUUAGGGGAUCGAAGAGGAUUAGAUACC